GAUGAACGCUCGCUACAGGCUUAACACGUGCAAGUCGAGGGGAAACGACAUCGAAAGCUUGCUUUUGAUGGGCGUCGACCGGCGCACGGGUGAGUAACGCGUAUCCAACCUGCCCAUCACUUGGGGAUAACCUUGCGAAAGUAAGACUAAUACCCAAUGAUAUCUCUAGAAGACAUCUGAAAGAGAUUAAAGAUUUAUCGGUGAUGGAUGGGGAUGCGUCUGAUUAGCUUGUUGGCGGGGUAACGGCCCACCAAGGCAACGAUCAGUAGGGGUUCUGAGAGGAAGGUCCCCCACAUUGGAACUGAGACACGGUCCAAACUCCUACGGGAGGCAGCAGUGAGGAAUAUUGGUCAAUGGGCGAGAGCCUGAACCAGCCAAGUAGCGUGCAGGAAGACGGCCCUAUGGGUUGUAAACUGCUUUUAUAAGGGAAUAAAGUGAGAGUCGUGACUCUUUUUGUAUGUACCUUAUGAAUAAGAACCGGCUAAUUCCGUG
rnacentral:rRNA from 1 species